rnacentral:rRNA from 1 species
UACGUAGGGUGCAAGCGUUAAUCGGAAUUACUGGGCGUAAAGCGUGCGCAGGCGGUUAUGUAAGACAGGUGUGAAAUCCCAGGGCUUAACCUUGGAACUGCAUUUGUGACUGCAUAGCUAGAGUACGGUAGAGGGGGAUGGAAUUCCGCGUGUAGCAGUGAAAUGCGUAGAUAUGCGGAGGAACACCGAUGGCGAAGGCAAUCCCCCUGGACCUGUACUGACGCUCAUGCAC